rnacentral:snRNA from 1 species
UUCUUUUGAGCAAGAAAUUGACAAGCUCACCAAUACAGAGAAGAUUAGCAUGACCCCUGCACAAGAAUGACAUGCAAAUUCAUGAAACAUUCCAUUUAAAA